CCUACGGGGGGCUGCAGUGGGGAAUAUUGGACAAUGGGGGGAACCCUGAUCCAGCCAUGCCGCGUGUGUGAAGAAGGCCCUCGGGUUGUAAAGCACUUUCAGUGAGGAAGAACGCCUGGUGGUUAAUACCCAUCAGGAAAGACAUCACUCACAGAAGAAGCACCGGCUAACUCCGUGCCAGCAGCCGCGGUAAUACGGAGGGUGCGUGCGUUAAUCGGAAUUACUGGGCGUAAAGCGCGCGUAGGUGGCUUGAUAAGCCGGUUGUGAAAGCCCCGGGCUCAACCUGGGAACGGCAUCCGGAACUGCCAAGCUAGAGUGCAGGAGAGGAAGGUGGAAUUCCCGGUGUAGCGGUGAAAUGCGUAGAGAUCGGGAGGAAUACCAGUGGCGAAGGCGGCCUUCUGGACUGACACUGACACUGAGGUGCGAAAGCGUGGGUAGCAAACAGGAUUAGAUACCCCUGUAGUC
rnacentral:rRNA from 1 species